UACGAAGGGGGCUAGCGUUGCUCGGAAUUACUGGGCGUAAAGCGCACGUAGGCGGCUUUCUAAGUCGGGGGUGAAAUCCUGGAGCUCAACUCCAGAACUGCCUUCGAUACUGGAGAGCUCGAGUCCGGGAGAGGUGAGUGGAACUGCGAGUGUAGAGGUGAAAUUCGUAGAUAUUCGCAAGAACACCAGUGGCGAAGGCGGCUCACUGGCCCGAUACUGACGCUGAGGUGCGAAAGCGUGGGGAGCAAACAGG
rnacentral:rRNA from 1 species